rnacentral:rRNA from 1 species
UGGGGAAUAUUGGACAAUGGGCGAAAGCCUGAUCCAGCCAUGCCGCGUGUGUGAAGAAGGUCUUCGGAUUGUAAAGCACUUUAAGUUGGGAGGAAGGGCAGUUACCUAAUACGUGAUUGUUUUGACGUUACCGACAGAAUAAGCACCGGCUAACUCUGUGCCAGCAGCCGCGGUAAUACAGAGGGUGCAAGCGUUAAUCGGAAUUACUGGGCGUAAAGCGCGCGUAGGUGGUCUGUUAAGUUGGAUGUGAAAUCCCCGGGCUCAACCUGGGAACUGCAUUCAAAACUGACUGACUAGAGUAUGGUAGAGGGUGGUGGAAUUUCCUGUGUAGCGGUGAAAUGCGUAGAUAUAGGAAGGAACACCAGUGGCGAAGGCGACCACCUGGACUAAUACUGACACUGAGGUGCGAAAGCGUGGGGAGCAAACA